GCCAUUGUUCUCAUGCCUGAUUUCAUGGGCUCAGCAACUGGGGCCUCACCGGGAGGCAUUCUGCUUCACACAUGCAGCCCCCGUGCUCUCUGAAGUCUCAGAUCUCACUGGACACACUGCUCUCCUCUGCUCCUCCAGGGUUACUGGACAUGCGGCAUAUGGUGCUGAAGGAUCUGUGAAAAGACGAUCUCAUGCUGAGGUCCCAGACAACAAACACUGAUAACAUGAAGUACCGCAUACGCUCCUCCGUCCCCGGGAACGGUUCAUCUCCCCCACUCCUCCUGAAGGCCCUGAAUGAGAGUGUGAGCCGAUUCAACGGUGCACUAGUUGGCCACAAAGCCCGUCGCCAUGAAUGGGAAGAACACAACGGAGCCAUUCACUGUCAAGAGAUGCGGCAGGGCCUUGGGAAAGAUGCUGCACACAUCUGAUGCAAAACAUAAGAUUUCUCAGAACUUCUGCAACAAAUGCCAAUGAGACAAUGCUGAGGUGACACUGGAUCUAUAAGUCAAAGGACAGUUCCACAGCUGGGCAUGCUCAUACUGGGCUGGUGGGCCGUUUUCUUUAUAAGGCACAGUGCUGGUCUGACAUGAGCUUAACAGAAUAAUUAUCAAGCGAGAAAUAGCUGCCGCACUGCUGGGAGCCUGAAUAAUGACACUCAUAAUUACUGAUUUGA